rnacentral:rRNA from 1 species
GACGAACGCUGGCGGCGUGCCUAAUACAUGCCAGUCGAACGCAGUUGCGAACGGAUGAGUAACGCGUAGGUAACUGCCUGGUAGCGGGGGAUCACUAUUGGCAACUAUAGCUAAUACCGCAUACUACCAGCUGGACCUGCGUUGUAUUAGCUAGGUGGUGAGGUAACGUCUCACCAAGGCAACGCUACAUAGCCGACCUGAGAGGGUGAUCGGCCACACUGGGACUGAGACACGGCCCAGACUCCUACGGGAGGCAGCAGUAGGGAAUCUUCGGCAAUGGGGGGAACCCUGACCGAGCAACGCGGCGUGAGUGAAGAAGGUGUUCGGAUCGUAAAGCUCUGUUGUUAAGGAAGCGGUACUUAACCAGAAAGGGACGGCUAACUACGUGCCAGCCGCCGCGGUAAUAC